AAUUAUUAAAGGAAAAGAACCUCUUGUUAAAUCCUCCGAUCCCAUACAUUUGUGAUCUUGACAAUUGUAUUAUUGAAACUUACUUGAACAUUAAUAACUUCCUUUGGUAUUUUAAGUGCAAUCUUUAGGUGAACCAAUAUGUUAUGUCCAAUUCUACGCGAAUCAAUUCUAUUCUACAUAUAAAUUUUGCCAUAUUUUAUCAUCUCAUAAACAUGAAUAACUUUCAAAGGAACUAAAAAUUGUAGUUACAAAUUAUUAAAGGAAACGAACCAAUCAUUACGAAUCCAAAUGCCUUCACACUUGACAUGUAGAAUGGUGGGGUUGCUAUCGAAAAAAUGUAGAGGAAACUAUGAAUUCUUUCAUACAAAUAAUUGUGCAGUUUUCCAAAAUUAAGUAAAGGCCUGGAUGACCAUUCUUUUCAUUCUCUCCACUUCCAUUCAAAGAGCAACGCAUUCAAAGAAAUAGUUUUUGUUUGAAAUUUCAAAUUUGAGUGGAAAGGCAGUUAUAAACAAGUAUAUCUAUGGAGUCAAAUCAUAUUAUAGCAUUCUUAGUGCCCAUUAGCAGAUAACAAACCUUGCUGAGGCUUGCAAAUACAUUUGUAAAUUGUUAUUUGCAGAUGUACACAUGUUGCAAUCGUGGAGCACUUUGUUAGGCAAUUAGGGGGCAUGUCAUAAUCACGGUGAUAAUAAUUUCUUUUAUUAUUAUUAUAUAUAUAUCUGUACUGUACAAAUUUUAUGUGAAUAGAAUAUAAUAUUUCAUUUUGCCUUCUUUCCAGAUUUCAUUAUAUGGUAUCAGAGCAAUUAUGACGUCUCCAAACUCCAGCUCAGAAAAUCAAGUCCCAACCACUAAAUCCGGCCUUAAUCUGAUCAAUACUGCUAAACCCACUCCAAAUUUCUCCUUAUCUCAACCUGCCCAACCUAUAAAUAAUGCAAAUCAACUAGCUAUUGUGUACCUGGAUGAUGGAAAUUUUCUCAUUUAGAGACAGCAUGUUCUUCCUGGUAUUCGCGGUUUUGGGUUGGAAGGAUUUAUUGAUGCUUCUGCUGUCUGUCUACCAGAACUCACUCCAACCAAGGUCCGUCAACCCGGACUAUGUCUUCUGGCAUCGUCAAGACCAAUUGAUAUUUUCUUGGUUAUUGGCAUCAAUGACAGAGUAUUCAAGCCCAAAUGGUGGGAUCAAGCACUGCUAGUGAUAUUUGGAAAAUUGUUGCACGUCUGUUUGCAUCUAGAACUAAGGCAGAGGUGAUGCAACAUAAACUUCAACUCCAGACCCAAAAGAAAGGAGGUUUGAGUAUGCGAGAAUACCUUUUGAAGAUGAACACAUAUGCUGAUGUUCUUACUUCUGCUGGAGAAAAGAUUUCAGAGGACCAAAUACUCUAUGUUCUAGCUAGGUUGGAAAUCGAGUAUGAAUCUGUUAUCGUCUCUGUUACAUCACGUGUUGAGCCCUACUUCUUACAAGAUGCAACUGAACUUUUUCUCGUACAUGAAAAUCGGAUUGAACAGUAUUCCGCAAAUGGAGAUGUGUGACAACCUACUAUAAAUCUGGCACUUCAAGACCAGUCAAAGAAAAAUGGGGACAGCAGUCAAAAAUUCCCUCACGAAAGAAUCCGAACUUACAUGGUAGAAGCCGCGGUAGAAUCAGAACAUGGAAUGGCAAUAGCAUGCCUCAGUGUCAACUUUGUGGUAUAUUUGGUCUAGAUAUGGCAACGGUUCGGCUAAAACUAUCAUCGAAGCACCAAUUUUUUAGUCAUACCACAAUUGCACCAUAACUACGUAAGUUGGUUCGGUUCGUAUUUCGAUUUGCCUUGAUUUGAGUCGUUAAUAACCACGAAAAUAUAUUAUUUUUUAUGGGUCCAUUCAUCAAAUAUUUUAAAAAAAUUAUGAAAGAAAGUCAAUGAAAACAAAAAUAUAAUACUAAGCCAAUGUAGCAAAACAACAUCACAAAUGAAAAUGCAAACAAUAUUCCAAUUCUCAAAUGCAAAAUCCGAAUUUAACAAAUAAUACUAAACAAUAUCUUUAUCCCUUGAUCCUUGUGCAUAGAACUUGAUUUCUACUCAAUAACUCAAAAAUUUCAAUCUCAAUUUAUAUUCAAUCUUUAUUCUUCCCCACAACUCUUAUUAGGAUUCGCAAAAUCUCAAAGUUGAUUUUUAUAUAGUAUAUAAGAAAUGUAAAUAGAGUAAUAAUCUAUAAUGGUUUUAACUAAAUAUUUAAACAAAAAAAAUGUACUUCUUCGUCAACAUUCUCAUCGUCAAACCUUGCACAAGUUCUAGAGUAUGAUGAAGGAGCAAAAUUUUCUACAAACAAAAGAGGAAAAAAAUUAGCAAUAUAAGAAGGUGCAUGAAUAUCAAAUAUAAAACAAUAAAUCCAAUUAUUAUUUUUUUAACGGGUAAUGGUUCGUGGCAGGGCAACGGUACGAAUACCAUAUCCGCCUCGCCCUGAAUCGAGUCAUUAAAAUCAAAUACCAUAUCCGCUUCAUUUCACCAUCAAUUCACUUAACCGCGAUUUUUAGUUUUGACAGUUGGAAUUGUCAUCCUUAAUUUGGUCACACGGCACAGAAAUGCUACCAUCGUUUUGACCCUUCAUUUCUCUGGUCUCAAUGGUGCUAGGAAUACUAAUACUCUUUCGGGUAAUCAAAGUGGAGAUGGGUUUACUCAAAUGGCCACAAUGAUGGCAGCCCCUGAGUUACUUACUGAGAAUGGGUGGUUUCCAGACUCGGGAGCAACAAAUCACAAGACCAAUGAUCUAAACAACAUGCAUAUUCGCAGUGAAUAUCUGGGGAGCAGCAAAAUUGUGGUGGGUAAUGGUAAAGGUCCCUCAAUAUCUCACGUUGGCUCUUUCUUUUUUAACUCUCCUAAUUCGUCUUGUGUUUAUACUCUGUCCAACUUAUGCAUGUCCCACAAAUUAUAAAGAACUUGCUUAAUGUUAGCCAAUUUGCUCGUACAAUCAUGUUUAUUUUGAAUUUCACCUGAGUUUGUGUUUUGUAAAGGAUCAGGCCACGAGAAUGGAGCUACUCCAAGGGAGACUACAUAAUGAUUUGUAUCAGUUUAAUCUAUUUAAGGCAUCUUUUGUUGGGAAUCUACUUAUACAUGCACAGCGGAAAAUUAAAUUAUUUCGAUUCCCAUCCAA
rnacentral:lncRNA from 1 species